rnacentral:rRNA from 1 species
CAUGCAAGUCGAGCGAACUGACGAGGAGCUUGCUCCUUUGACGUUAGCGGCGGACGGGUGAGUAACACGUGGGUAACCUACCUAUAAGACUGGAAUAACUCCGGGAAACCGGGGCUAAUGCCGGAUAACAUGUUGAACCGCAUGGUUCAACAGUGAAAGACGGUCUUGCUGUCACUUAUAGAUGGACCCGCGCCGUAUUAGCUAGUUGGUAAGGUAACGGCUUACCAAGGCGACGAUACGUAGCCGACCUGAGAGGGUGAUCGGCCACACUGGAACUGAGACACGGUCCAGACUCCUACGGGAGGCAGCAGUAGGGAAUCUUCCGCAAUGGGCGAAAGCCUGACGGAGCAACGCCGCGUGAGUGAUGAAGGUCUUCGGAUCGUAAAGCUCUGUUGUUAGGGAAGAACAUAUGUGUAAGUAACUGUGCACAUCUUGACGGUACCUAACCAGAAAGCCACGGCUAACUACGUGCCAGCAGCCGCGGUAAUACGUAGGUGGCAAGCGUUAUCCGGAAUUAUUGGGCGUAAAGCGCGCGUAGGCGGUUUUUUAAGUCUGAUGUGAAAGCCCACGGCUCAACCGUGGAGGGUCAUUGGAAACUGGAAAACUUGAGUGCAGAAGAGGAAAGUGGAAUUCCAUGUGUAGCGGUGAAAUGCGCAGAGAUAUGGAGGAACACCAGUGGCGAAGGCGGCUUUCUGGUCUGUAACUGACGCUGAGGUGCGAAAGCGUGGGGAUCAAACAGGAUUAGAUACCCUGGUAGUCCACGCCGUAAACGAUGAGUGCUAAGUGUUAGGGGGUUUCCGCCCCUUAGUGCUGCAGCUAACGCAUUAAGCACUCCGCCUGGGGAGUACGGUCGCAAGACUGAAACUCAAAGGAAUUGACGGGGACCCGCACAAGCGGUGGAGCAUGUGGUUUAAUUCGAAGCAACGCGAAGAACCUUACCAAAUCUUGACAUCUUUUGACCGCUCUAGAGAUAGAGUUUUCCUCUUCGGAGGACAAAAUGACAGGUGGUGCAUGGUUGUCGUCAGCUCGUGUCGUGAGAUGUUGGGUUAAGUCCCGCAACGAGCGCAACCCUUAAGCUUAGUUGCCAUCAUUAAGUUGGGCACUCUAAGUUGACUGCCGGUGACAAACCGGAGGAAGGUGGGGAUGACGUCAAAUCAUCAUGCCCCUUAUGAUUUGGGCUACACACGUGCUACAAUGGACAAUACAAAGGGCAGCGAAACYGCGAGGUCAAGCAAAUCCCAUAAAGUUGUUCUCAGUUCGGAUUGUAGUCUGCAACUCGACUAYAUGAAGCUGGAAUCGCUAGUAAUCGUAGAUCAGCAUGCUACGGUGAAUACGUUCCCGGGUCUUGUACACACCGCCCGUCACACCACGAGAGUUUGUAACACCCGAAGCCGGUGGAGUAACCAUUU